rnacentral:lncRNA from 1 species
GGUUAGUCGGUCAUGAUGAUUAGUCAGCUAGUCAGAUAUGAUGGUCAAUCGGCCAAUCGGCUAUGAUAGUCGGUCAUUUGACAGUUGACCAUUGAUCAGUCGGUCUUGAUGACUCUGCUUCAGCCAUGAUGGUCAAUCAGUCAUGACGAUACUACAUCGGUCAGAUGUUUAAUUUUGAAGAAGUCUCGAAUCGAUCGAAAUUGUUAGGGAUCAAUAGCC